CCCAAAGAGACAGAGAGAGAGAGAGAUCUAGAGAUCUAGAGAGAGAGUAUGGAUCAGUUUCUUGAGCUUUAUUCUGAAGCUUUUAACAUAGCCAUGGUGGUCCUGCUUCUCUUCCUGUCAUGGAAAAUAUUGUAUUCUUGUUGGAUUUCACCAACUCAGCGAUAUCAGAAGCUUCGGAGAAAUUGGUUUAAAGGCCCAACUCCAAGUUUUCCGCUGGGUAAUAGUACUAGAGAGAUGACUAAGAAGAAAAGAGAACAUUCUUCUUUGGGAUCUACAAAGUCCCCCCAUGAUAUUCACUCAAUGGUUUUCCCCUACUUUGCACAAUGGCAAGAGUCACAUGGAAAAGUAUUCAUCUACUAGCUAGGCACGGAGCCAUUUUUUUAUGUAGCGGAUCCUGAGUUCCUUAAGAAAAUGUCUAGGAAGGUGAUGGCAAGGAGCUGGGGGAAACCCACUGUCUUCAAAAAUGACAGAGACGCCAUGUUUGGCAAUGGUCUGAUUAUGACUGAAGGCGAUGACUGGGUUCGCCACCGCCAAGCCAUCACUCCGGCAUUCCACCCCACCAACUUGAAGGUUAUGGCAUCCAUGAUGAGUGCAUGACUUUCUUCUUUGGAGGCCAUGAGACGACAGCAUUGGCAAUCACGUGGACCUUGCUGCUGCUGGCUGUCCAUCAAGAUUGGCAACAUCAGUUAAGAGAUGAGAUUAGAGAAGUUGUUAAAGAUAAGGAGAUCGAUGUCAACAAGCUUGCCGGACUAAAGAAGGUGUAAUUUAUUAUAAUUUUGCAUUAUCAUUUGCAAUCCAAGGAUCUGGAAGAUUCGAUGCUGUCACCCAAGGAUCAAAUCACAUCCAAAUUAAAUCAGUCUUGUAAAGAAAGAUCCAAUACUAAGAAGGAAAUCAUCGCAGAAUUUUGUCUGUAAAAUAUGUAAUUGACAGCACAUUACUUGCGGACAUUUAACCAUCGCAGAAUUUUGUCUGUAAAAUAUGUAAUUGACAGCACAUUACUUGCGGACAUUUAACCUCUCCUUCGUGUAUAAGUAUCAUGU